UCAAACGUGAUGGAGCCCUCCACCUCAAUGGAGUCCAACUUCAUGGCUGGGGACAAAGGUUUAUCAACGGUGGAGAUGCUCAAGCUGCUUGAGAUGUCUCCUCCCCCCACGCCACAGACUCUGCCGCCCAUCUCUGAAGCAGUUGAAAGUCAAACAACUGAGCCAGACUACCUUACCUGGCUGGAUGACUCAAACACAGUGUCUUUUAUAGAUAUACUUGAGUCUCCUCCCCCCACGCCACAGACUCAGCAUCACUCAGCAUCACUCUGCACCGAUUCUGCAUCGAUGUACUCCCCCCUUGCACUGGAUGACAACCAAACUACGGUGUCCAAACUCUUGGCCGGGAUUGAAUAUCCACCUAUGGCAGAGCUGCUUGAGCUGCUAAGUGGCUGAGUCUUGUUUUUGUGAAGGGGCAAAAGGGGAAGAGGGAGAGGGACAGGAGCAAGGCCUCAAAAUGACUGAAGCAUCUGCAUCGACAUCUGGAGAGGUCACAUCGCAAGCGAAGACGAUGUGUGUGAAGCUAGGUUACAUAAGUGUGACAGUGGCUUCUCACACACAGUCAAACGUGAUGCGGCCCUCCACCUCAACGACAGAUGUGACAGUGGCUUCUCACGCACAGUCAAACGUUAUGGAGCCUCAAUGGAGUCCAACGUCAUGGCUGGGGACAGAGAUUUAUCAACGCUGGCGAAUGUUCGAGCUGCUUUAGAUGAUUCCUGUCCCCACGCCACAGACUCAGCUGCCCAUCUCUGAAGCAGUUGAAAGUCAAACAACUGAGCCCGACUACUUUGCCUGGCUGGAAGACUCAAUGGUGGGAGAUUUUCCUCAUCCGAAUCGAGGGUCUAAAUACAGAGAAUGUCGUAUGCUGACUAUGUUUUGUGGUAUUUCAAUAUACAGCAAAUAAAACAAAGAAAACAAA